rnacentral:rRNA from 1 species
UCCAAUAGCGUAUAUUAAAGUUGUUGCAGUUAAAAAGCUCGUAGUUGAAUUUCGGGGUUAGUAGGUUGGUCAUGCCCCUGGUAUGCACUGGCCUCACUGAUUCCUCCUUCCUGAUGAGCCGUAAUGCCAUUAAUUUGGUGUUGCGGGGAAUUUGGACUGUUACUUUGAAAAAAUUAGAGUGUUUAAAGCAAGCUAACGCUUGAAUACAUUAGCAUGGAAUAAUGAAAUAGGACGUUCGAUCCUAUUUUGUUGGUUUCUAGGAUUGACGUAAUGAUUAAUAGGGAUAGUUGGGGGCAUUANNGNUCANUUGCCAGAGGCGAANAUCUUGNAUUUGUUGANNACNNACNACUGCGNAA